rnacentral:rRNA from 1 species
CGGCAAUGGAGGAAACUCUGACCGAGCAACGCCGCGUGAACGAUGAAGUAUUUCGGUACGUAAAGUUCUUUUAUUAGGGAAGAAUAAAUGAUGGAAAAAUCAUUCUGACGGUACCUAAUGAAUAAGCCCCGGCUAACUAUGUGCCAGCAGCCGCGGUAAUACAUAGGGGGCAAGCGUUAUCCGGAAUUAUUGGGCGUAAAGGGUGCGUAGGCGGUUAAAUAAGUUUAUGGUCUAAGUGCAAUGCUCAACAUUGUGAUGCUAUAAAAACUGUUUAGCUAGAGUAAGAUAGAGGCAAGUGGAAUUCCAUGUGUAGUGGUAAAAUGCGUAAAUAUAUGGAGGAACACCAGUAGCGAAGGCGGCUUGCUGGGUCUUUACUGACGCUGAGGCACGAAAGCGUGGGGAGCAAACAGGAUUAGAUACCCUGGUAGUCCACGCCGUAAACGAUGAGUACUAAACGUUGGGUAAAACCAGUGUUGAAGUUAACACAUUAAGUACUCCGCCUGAGUAGUACGUACGCAAGUAUGAAACUUAAAGGAAUUGACGGGACUCCGCACAAGCGGUGGAUCAUGUUGUUUAAUUCGAAGGUACCCGAAAAACCUCACCAGGUCUUGACAUGCUUCUGCAAAGCUGUAGAGACACAGUGGAGGUUAUCAGUUGCACAGGUGGUGCAUGGUUGUCGUCAGCUCGUGUCGUGAGAUGUUGGGUUAAGUCCCGCAACGAGCGCAACCCUUAUUGUUAGUUACCAGCACGUAAUGGUGGGGACUUUAGCAAGACUGCCAGUGAUAAAUUGGAGGAAGGUGGGGACGACGUCAAAUCAUCAUGCCCCUUAUGACCUGGGCUACAAACGUGAUACAAUGGCUGUUACAAAGAGUAGCUGAA